rnacentral:rRNA from 1 species
UACGUAGGGUGCGAGCGUUGUCCGGAAUUAUUGGGCGUAAAGGGCGCGUAGGCGGUCAGCACAAGUCAGUUGUGAAAUCUCCGGGCUUAACUCGGAAAGGUCAACUGAUACUGUGCGACUAGAGUGCGGAAGGGGCAACUGGAAUUCUCGGUGUAGCGGUGAAAUGCGUAGAUAUCGAGAGGAACACCUGCGGCGAAGGCGGGUUGCUGGGCCGACACUGACGCUGAUGCGCGAAAGCCAGGGGAGCGAACGGG